UUGUAAGGUAUCAUGUAUAAACUGCUGGUGGGGAAAGUGUUAAUAAUUUGACUUUAUACUGUUUUAUUAAAAAGAUUAAUCAAAGGUCACCUCAAGUAUAAAGUUCAUUUUUUUGGGUUUUGGCCAGGAUAAAAUCAUCCCCAGGUGAUUUAUUGUUAACCUGGUCUAACCGAAGAGGGCAGAUUUGCUGCUGACUCUUAGGCCUGGCUCUCUCUUCAACAUGACCACAUUUACUUCAGUGAUAGGGUAAUAUAUAGCCUAGAUUCAGGCCUUUCACUGGAGACCAACAUUGUUCAUUUUGAAACAUGUGGCGCCUGUCAGGGUACUGUUGAGUUAGGCCUAAAUUUGGCGGCCGCGCUUCAGAACGCAAUAGAGUGUAUUAUUUCUAAUCCAACAGAAAUAGCACCUAGAACGCCGCCCAGGCCAUGCUUAGAACUUGUUUGGAAACCUGAAUUUUAAUUUAAAUGUUCUCUCUUUGACAGCAAAAUGCUCAAGAUGUGCCCCAACUGCAGCGAAGGUGGCUAAACUCAUAGAGGCAGAGGGGUGGACGGCCAAUCAUCCCCGCCCAGAGGACAUCAUUGCAAAGUGGAGGCCACUCAGCAGAGCACAGGCACAGAGUGACCCAGCCAUCAUCAGGGGGGUGACCAGUCAGAAAUGGCCGGGUCUGGCUGUGAAAGAUUUUGGGGGACAGAAAGGUAUAAAGUGAUAUAAGGAGUUGUUGCAACCAAGGCCUUCGGGAAGGGCUCCAUCCUGUGUGAUUUCCAUGGAAAGGUGAUCACAGGUGCUGAGGGCAGGGAGAUAGCAGAGAUGCAGGGUGAGCUGGGCCACCGUUUUUUCUUUAAACAUGGCAGUGAGGAAGUCUGCAUCGAUGCGGAGACCUUCCCCUGUGAGUGCCACCCGUCUCUGGAAACCAAAGGGAGAUGGAUUACGCACUCCAAGAAGAACUUCAACGUGCAGCCACGCCACUGCAUAGUGAAGCUUCAAGAAGGAGACAGGGACGUCCUGCUCUUUCAGGCCACCAAGGACAUUUUCAAAGAUGAGAAGAUCCGCUUCGACCACAGCAUAAAGAAGAGGUCUUUUCGUGGGGAGGAAGAGGAGCUGGAGUGGCUGGAUGACUGACAACCUACCCAGAUGAUCAUUUAUUUCAUUUACUUGCUUAGUAGCCUGGUGGGGGCAAGGUGUGCAUCUUUAUGACAACAUGUGUCAAUAAAGUUUUUAUUUAAUAUAUUUAUGGUUUAACUUCAUUUUUUCCUUUUAUUAGGAGGUAUAGGGGUGAAAUGAAAAUCAAUACAAGUAUAAAAACAUUAACUAUAUAUUCAGUUUAAUAAUGUUGUAAGGUAUCAUGUAUAAACUGCUGGUGGGGAAAGUGUUAAUAAUUUAACUUUAUACAGUAAUCAUUUAUUCCAAAAAAGAAAUAAAACAAUGACUCACCCCAAACUUCUGAAUGAUAGUGUUGAUAAACUUUGAUCCUCAGUAUAGGCUGACUUUCACACCUUU
ensembl:lncRNA